rnacentral:lncRNA from 1 species
UCACAUGGAUUCUUUGUCCCACACUAACUCUAGUGUCACAUCACUUUACAUUAUCGAAUGCCACUCGAUCUAUGUCUCAUUGUGUCACUUUGUUCUUUUGCCUUACUUGGGUGCUCACAUUUUACCUCAUGCAUAUAUAUAGGGUUAAACAUUUAUAGGGGUUCUCAACCAUUUCAUUAGGCAAAUUGUACUCACAACAUGCAACAUUACAUUAUUCUCAUUACAUAUACCCUACGAUGCAUGCAACAAUGUAUAUAACAUAUGCUCAAUUGAAUGACACAUUAGGCAUAGAAGGAAGUUCAACGAGUUUGGAUAGCACCACCCACCUCGUAGGUUCUCAAAGGUGCUCCGGUGAUUUUCUUGGGAUUUUUAGACACCCGGUUCGCUACCUGCGAGUUAACUAAGCCAAAUUAGGCUUAUUUGGCCAUAACUUUGCGUAUGCUUUUCGUUUGCUCCAACCGACUGCACCAACGCGUCGGAAAUAUCCCCAAUUAGGUUUCUAGAGGGUCAAUUGCAUUUUAGAAACAUCACGAGCAAAAGCCCCAAUUUGGGUGCUCUAGCUCAUAACAUAUAUCAAACCCAGGGUUUGAUCUCAUUGGGAAGCAAAAGAAGCUUCAUUCUACUCUAGAGAUUCCACAAAAACCAUCUUUAGUUCAAUCCAAACCCUAGUUUGGAUCCUACCAUGAGAGAGGUUGAAGCUCUCCUUCAAGCUUCACCUUCUCCACCAUUCCAUGAUUUUGAUCUCAAAAGGAAGCAAAAGAAAGCUUCAAAUACUCUAAAGGUUCUAUAAAAACCACUCUUAGCUUAAUCCAAACCCUAGUUUGGAUUCUACCAUGAUUAGGGUUCAAGCUUAUCUCUAAGCUUGCUCCAAAAGGGAAGAAGAGGAGAUAGCUUCACUUCUUAGCUUCUUCUUCACCUUCUUUCUCCUUUUCUUCUUCUUCUUUUCCUUCCUUUUCUUUGUCUUCUUCUUCUCCUUCUUGUCUUCUAGAGAGAGAAAGGGAGAAGAGAGAGUGUGAGAGGGUGAGAAUGAGAGGAAAUAUCUCAUACACCCCUCAUACAUAGCCCACAUAAUGCAUUUUUGUAUUUAAACCCCUCAACUUUCAUUAUAUUAAACUGCACAAACUGGGCAGAUUUCGUGUGCGGGGACCGGUCUCCCCGACCAGGGACCGGUUCCCGUAGCUCCUCUCUACAGCAACCAGGGCUCCCGCGCAAUGCGACCGGUCUCUCUUUGGGGGACCGGUCUCUCCAACAGGGACCGGUUCCCGAGAGCCUGAUCUCAGGGACUUAGCCGAUUUUUUUCUUUUCUCAUCUCCUACGCGUACCAGGACCGAUCUCUCCCACAAGGGACCGGUCCCCGAGAGCACAAAACCUGCAGAAUGCAAAUUUUUUAUUCUUUAGCUCUCGAAAACCUCUCACAAUGCACUUUUACUCAUCUUAACUCCUUCGGACUUUCCGUGGUGUACCUUCCUCGCACUUUGGUCAAUUUGACUAAAGUUCGAUAUUUAUUUUUUCGAAUUUUCGGUAUAUUACAUUCUCCACCCCUUAAAAUAAUUUCGUCCGCAAAAUUACGCAUACCUUAACUCGUCGACUCAAAUAGAUGCGAAUACUCUCUUCGCAUGGCCUCCUCGAGCUCCCAAGUGGCUUCUCGCACAGCAUGGUUGCUCCAUUAGACUUUCACAUAUGGAAUUCUGCGACUCCGCAGCUUUCUUUCUUCUCGAUCGAGAACGCACACCGGGUACUCCUCAUAAGACAUAACCUCACGUAACUCCACGGGCUCGUACUGCAAUACAUGUGUCGAGUUUCAAAUAUACUUUCGAAGAUUUGACACUUGGAAAACAUUGUGAACUCCCGCGAGUCUCGGUGGUAGUGCGAGCUUAUACGCUACCGCACCCACACGCUCCAAUAUCUCAAAUGGUCCGACAUAACGGGGACUUAGCUUCCCGCGGACCCCAAAUCGCUUUACUCCUCGCAUCGGCGACACUCUAAAAAAUACACGAUCUCCAACCGUGAACUCUAAGUCUUUCCUUCGCUUGUCGGCAUAGCUCUUUUGCCGAGAUUGCGCCGUCGCUAAUCGUUGACGGGCAAGGCGAACUUUCUCUUCCGCCUCCCGUACCACGUCCGGGCCAAGAGCCGUUCUCUCGCCCACGUCGCUCCAAUGAAUAGGAGAACGACACUUCCGACCAUAUAGUGCCUCAAAUGGCGCCAACGCUAUGCUUUCUUGAUAACUGUUAUUAUAUGCAAACUCCGCCAUCGGCAAGAAAUCAUGCCAUCCUCCCUUGUAAUCUAGCACACACGCUCGAUGCAAGUCCUCGAGGAUCUGUAUUGUCCGCUCUGACUGUCCAUCACUUUGAGGAUGAAACGCUGUGCUAAAGUCGAGCCGUGUGCCUAGCGCGUCUUGCAAGCUCUUCCAAAAGUGGGAUGUGAACCAGGGGUCUCGAUUCGAUACGAUUGAUACCGAAACCCCAUGAAGUCUCACAACCUCAUCGAGAUAAACUUGAGCUAACUUGUCUCCCGACCAUGUAGUAUGUAUUGGCAAGAAGUGUGCCGACUUUGUCAAUCGAUCCACUAUCACCCAUAUCGCAUCGUGUCCGCCUUGUGAUCGAGGCAAACCGGUAAUAAAGUCCAUCACUAUAUCUUCCCAUUUCCAAACGGGUAUUGAUAGACUUUGUAGCAUUCUCGCCGAAAAUCGGCGCUCUGCUUUCACCUGUUGGCACGUUAGACAUUGCGCUACGAAUUCCCCAAUAUCUCUUUUCAUACCCGGCCACCAAUAAUGCUCUUUCAAGUUCUUGUACAUUUUAGUGCUGCCGGGGUGUAUGCUAUAAGGGGAUUGAUACGCUUCUUGCAUGAUCGCCCUUCGUAACUCAUCAUCUUUAGGCACACACCAUCGAUUUCGAAAUCGAAGUGCGCCAUCAGCUCCAAUGCCAAAGUCUUCGGCAUUGCCAUUUUCAACUUCGCCUCGAACCUUUUGGAAAUAAGGAUCCGAAGCUUGAAGCUCUUUGAUUCUUUCCAAUAGGGUCGGUUGCACAACUAAUGCGGCAAGUGUAGCCGGCACUCCCGACGCUACCACUUCCAACCCAAGUCGUUGCAUCUUCUUUUGCAAUAGCGGUUGAGGCGUAAUUGCCAUCGCUAAAUUCUCCGCUGAUUUUCUACUUAGAGCAUCGGCCACGACAUUGGCUUUCCCGUGGUGGUAUAGUAUAGUGACAUCGUAGUCCUUCAACAACUCCAACCACCGCCGCUGGCAUAUAUUCAACUCCUUCUGGGUGAACAAGUACUUUAGACUUUUAUGAUCUGUAUAGACCUCGCAAUGUUCACCACACAAGUAAUGCCUCCAAAGCUUUAGCGCGAAGAUCACCGCGGCUAACUCGAGGUCGUGAAUCGAGUAGUUCUUCUCAUAACUCUUUAAUUGGCGCGAUGCAUAGGCAAUGACCCGCCCAUUUUGCAUUAGUACACACCCAAGACCAACAUAAGAGGCAUCACUAUACACUACAAAAGUCUCCCCCGGAGUCGGCAAGGCAAGCACCGGGGUCGGCAAGUUCCUAGUGGGUUCGGCCCCAACAUCACCGACUUUUCCACUAGGACUAACUCAGGCAUAAUAGAAUGGAUAAGCAAAAUAGUAACCCAACUAUAAUCAUGAUGCUAAUAUGCCUGAACAAUAAAGCAAGAAGUAUGCUCAAUAUAAAUCAUGCAAGUAUGCAAGUUCUUUGCUCAAUCACAUUACUGUACUAACUUGAAUAUUAGGAAUCUCAAUUCCUAAGCUAGUAUGAACGAUACUCAAGGCACGAGCUCCCGCCAGCGAGGGAGAGCUCGCUACGCGAGGCCUCAAAACGUAGUGCCCAACUUCAUUUGGGUUCCUGCCAGAAUCGCCCUCCGUCGACUCCCAGGCGCUACUACCUGAAUUACACCAGUUCAAUUACACCGCUUUGGGGGCCCAAUCGGUACUCUAAUUUCUUGUUCUUGUAUCUCGUUUCUAAUUUCUUAUUUCUCAUUUCUUNGCUAACUCUAGCAAUCACUGUUCUUUGCUCUUUACAUGUUCUUUAUGCCCCACUUUGCAUUAUCUCUAUUCUUUGUUCUCAAAUGCCACACUUUACAUUAACUUUAGCCUUUAUCAUUGUCCUUUACGUCACAUAGAUUCUUUGUCCCACACUAACUCUAGUGCCACAUCACUUUACAUUAUCGAAUGCCACUCAAUCUAUGUCUCAUUGUGUCACUUUGUUCUUUUGCCUUACUUGGGUGCUCACAUUUUACCUCAUGCAUACAUAUAGGGUUAAACAUUUAUAGGGGUUCUCAACCAUCUCAUUAGGCAAAUUUCACUCACAACAUGCAACAUUACAUUAUUCUCAUUACAUAUACCCUACGAUGCAUGCAACAAUGUAUAUAACAUAUGCUCAAUUAAAUGACACAUUAGGCAUAGAAGGAAGUUCAACGAGUUUGGAUAGCACCACCCACCUCAUAGGUUCUCAAAGGUGCUCCGGUGAUUUUCUUAGAAUUUUUAGACACUCGGUUCGCUACCUACGAGUUAACGAAGCCAAAUUAGGCUUAUUUGGCCAUAACUUUGGGUAGGCUUUUCGUUUGCUCCAACUGACCACACCAACGCGUCGGAAAUACCCCCAAUUAGGUUUCUAGAGGGUCAAUUGCACUUUAGAAACAUCACGAGCAAAAGCCCCAAUUUGGGUGCCCGAGCUCAUAAUAUAUAUCAAACCUAGGGUUUGAUCUCAUUGGGAAGCAAAAGAAGCUUCAUUCUACUCUAGAGACUCCACAAAAACCAUCUUUAGUUCAAUCCAAACCCUAGUUUGGAUCCUACCAUGAGAGAGGUUGAAGCUCUCCUUCAAGCUUCACCUUCUCCACCAUUCCAUGGUUUUGAUCUCAAAAGGAAGCAAAAGAAAGCUUCAAAUACUCUAAAGGUUUUAUAAAAACCACUCUUAGCUUAAUCCAAACCCUAGUUUGGAUUCUACCAUGAUUAGGGUUCAAGCUUACCUCUAAGCUUGCU